AUUAAAUAUGUAGGAAUGAGUGAUUCUUUCCUGAGGGGAAAGAAUUGAAAAGGGAAGUCAGUUAUGCUGACGCGGCGCCCGCCACUGUGAAAGGGAGUCUACUUACAAAUUGUCACUGGGUAUUUAAUCCUGGGAAGACGUGAGUUGAUGAGGAUCUUAAGUCAGGAGACCUGCUUGUUCUGAAGUAAAAACU
rnacentral:ncRNA from 21 species